rnacentral:rRNA from 1 species
ACUAUCAGCUCUAACCCAACUUACACAUGCAAGUCUCCGCACCCCAGUGAGUACGCCCUUAACCCCCUCCCGGGGGUAAGGAGCAGGCAUCAGGCACAAAUAUUUAGCCCAAGACGCCCAGCCUAGCCACACCCCCAAGGGAAUUCAGCAGUGAUAAACAUUAAGCCAUAAGUGAAAACUUGACUCAGUUAGCGUUAAGAGGGCCGGUAAAACUCGUGCCAGCCACCGCGGUUAGACGAGAGGCCCUAGUUGAUAUUAUAACGGCGUAAAGGGUGGUUAAGGAUAAAUAAUAAUAAAGCCAAAUGGCCCCUUGGCCGUCAUACGCUUCUAGGUGUCCGAGGCCCUAUAUACGAAAGUAGCUUUAAUUAACCCACCUGACCCCACGAAAACUGAGAAACAAACUGGGAUUAGAUACCCCACUAUGCUCAGUCGUAAACUUAGACAUCCAACUACAAUUAGAUGUCCGCCAGGGUACUACGAGCAUUAGCUUAAAACCCAAAGGACCUGACGGUGUCUCAGAUCCCU